rnacentral:rRNA from 1 species
GGGGGAUAUUGCGCAAUGGGGGCAACCCUGACGCAGCAACGCCGCGUGAAGGAUGAAGGUUUUCGGAUUGUAAACUUCUUUUAUUAAGGACGAAACUUGACGGUACUUAAUGAAUAAGCUCCGGCUAACUACGUGCCAGCAGCCGCGGUAAUACGUAGGGAGCAAGCGUUGUCCGGAUUUACUGGGUGUAAAGGGUGCGUAGGCGGCUUUGCAAGUCAGAUGUGAAAUCUAUGGGCUCAACCCAUAAACUGCAUUUGAAACUGUAGAGCUUGAGUGAAGUAGAGGCAGGCGGAAUUCCCCGUGUAGCGGUGAAAUGCGUAGAGAUGGGGAGGAACACCAGUGGCGAAGGCGGCCUGCUGGGCUUUAACUGACGCUGAGGCACGAAAGCGUGGGUAGCAAACAGGAUUAGAUACCCUGGUAGUCCACGCUGUAAACGAUGAUUACUAGGUGUGGGGGGUCUGACCCCUUCCGUGUCGGAGUUAACACAAUAAGUAAUCCACCUGGGGAGUACGGCCGCAAGGUUGAAACUCAAAGGAAUUGACGGGGGCCCGCACAAGCAGUGGAGUAUGUGGUUUAAUUCGAAGCAACGCGAAGAACCUUACCAGGUCUUGACAUCCAACUAACGAAGUAGAGAUACAUUAGGUGCCCUUCGGGGAAAGUUGAGACAGGUGGUGCAUGGUUGUCGUCAGCUCGUGUCGUGAGAUGUUGGGUUAAGUCCCGCAACGAGCGCAACCCUUGCUAUUAGUUGCUACGCAAGAGCACUCUAAUAGGACUGCCGUUGACAAAACGGAGGAAGGUGGGGACGACGUCAAAUCAUCAUGCCCCUUAUGACCUGGGCUACACACGUACUACAAUGGAUGUUAACAGAGGGAAGCAAGACAGCGAUGUGGAGCAAACCCCUAAAAACAUUCUCAGUUCAGAUUGCAGGCUGCAACCCGCCUGCAUGAAGAUGGAAUUGCUAGUAAUCGCGGAUCAGCAUGCCGCGGUGAAUACGUUCCCG